GAUGAACGCUGGCGGCGUGCCUAAUACAUGCAAGUCGAGCGAACAGACGAGGAGCUUGCUCCUCUGACGUUAGCGGCGGACGGGUGAGUAACACGUGGAUAACCUACCUAUAAGACUGGGAUAACUUCGGGAAACCGGAGCUAAUACCGGAUAAUAUAUUGAACCGCAUGGUUCAAUAGUGAAAGACGGUUUUGCUGUCACUUAUAGAUGGAUCCGCGCCGCAUUAGCUAGUUGGUAAGGUAACGGCUUACCAAGGCAACGAUGCGUAGCCGACCUGAGAGGGUGAUCGGCCACACUGGAACUGAGACACGGGCCAGCCUCCUACGGGAGGCAGCAGUAGGGAAUCUUCCGCAAUGGGCGAAAGCCUGACGGAGCAACGCCGCGUGAGUGAUGAAGGUCUUCGGAUCGUAAAACUCUGUUAUUAGGGAAGAACAAAUGUGUAAGUAACUAUGCACGUCUUGACGGUACCUAAUCAGAAAGCCAGGGCUAACUACGUG
rnacentral:rRNA from 1 species